rnacentral:rRNA from 1 species
GUGGCUCUGAUUUGCUUAUUGCACCACAUGUGUUUUUCUUUGAAACAAACUUGCUUUGGCGGUGGGCCCAGCCUGCCGCCAGAGGUCUAAACUUACAACCAAUUUUUUAUCAACUUGUCACACCAGAUUAUUACUAAUAAUCAAAACUUUCAACAACGGAUCUCUUGGUUCUCGCAUCGAUGAAAAACGCAGCGAAAUGCGAUACGUAAUAUGAAUUGCAGAUAUUCGUGAAUCAUCCAAUCUUUGAACGCACAUUGCGCCCUCUGGUAUUCCGGAAGGCAUGCCUGUUUGAGCGUCGUUUCUCCCUCAAACCGCUGGGUUUGGUGUUGAGCAAUACGACUUGGGUUUGCUUGAAAGACGGUAGUGGUAAGGCGGGAUCGCUUUGACAAUGGCUUAAGUCUAACCAAAAACAUUGUUUGCGGCGGUAACGUCCACCACGUAUAUCUUCAAACUUUGACCUCAAAUCAGGUAGGACUACCCGCUGAACUUAAGCAUAUCAAAAAGGGGGAGGAAA